CAACUAAAGCAAGAAAGAAGACUUUACUGCCCCAAAGACUUGCUACUCAUUGCUAAUUUGCCAUCCAUCUUGUUUUCAAAGGAAAAAUGAAUGUGCAGGGUGCUUGGAGUCAAAUUUUGGUGGUGAAUGUGAAGUCACUGUCUAUGCUAAUUUCAAUGGCCCUUUCACGGUGAUGUGCCCUACUGUACAGAGAACAAACACAGUUACCAUGGCAGUGUAAACACAAAUACAUACCACACUCAGAGCCAUUCCCAUGUGCUGCAGAGAACAGAGAAAGUUCAUUGUCUUCAUCUGAACACAUCUGGGAAAGAAGGAUGAGAUUAUCUCACUUUAAAAAUAUUUUUAAAUAUUAUGGAAACCAAGACUUGUUCUGAAUGACUCCAUGUCCUGGCAGAUAUGAAAGACGAUCCUUUGAAGCUAAAGGAAUAAGAGAAGGUAGGUGCUUUUUUACGGUAACAAUGUUCAAAUCUAUAAUGAAUGUACUUUAGGAAGAUAUAUGCAGCCUGACAGUUCCGGAAGCCAGCACAAAUUCUCUGGGAGCAGUUUACCCCAGUCUUCUAAAGAGUUAAUAGAAGAAUUUAGCUGUAGCAGAUGAAGAGAAAGUUCCACAGAAAGAACAGAUUGAUAAAUCACUGAUGUAUCCAGAGAAUUAUCUCAUGUUGGAGACUCAUUUUCCCUUGAGGACCAAGGGGUAUAUUCACUUAAAAAUUAAAAAAUAAUUGGAACUAACAGAAUGUAUGUGGAUAGCCUGUUGCCUCUGCUCUGUGGCACAGGUCUUGCCCCUACCAUCUGGCCUGUCCUGACUUCGCAGAGGAAAGCUCUCCAAAGCAGAAACUGUCUUUGUGCUGUGGGGCCCCACUUGUUGUUGGUACUUGGAUAUUCAUGAGAAGAGAUAAUCAUAAUAAAAUAUAACAAGUGAAUAGAA